CAUAAUAGCUUCGGCUCNAAGAGGGGGACCUUCGGGCCUCUCGCGUCAGGAUAUGCCCAGGUGNGAUUAGCUAGUUGGUGAGGUAAAGGCUCACCAAGGCAACGAUCCCUAGCUGGUCUGAGAGGAUGAUCAGCCACACUGGAACUGAGACACGGUCCAGACUCCUACGGGAGGCAGCAGUGGGGAAUAUUGCACAAUGGGCGCAAGCCUGAUGCAGCCAUGCCGCGUGUAUGAAGAAGGCCUUCGGGUUGUAAAGUACUUUCAGCAGUGAGGAAGGCGGAUGCGUUAAUAGCGUAUUCGUUUGACGUUAGCUGCAGAAGAAGCACCGGCUAACUCCGUGCCAGCAGCCGCGGUAAUACGGAGGGUGCGAGCGUUAAUCGGAAUUACUGGGCGUAAAGCGCAUGCAGGUGGUGUGUUAAGUCAGAUGUGAAAGCCCGGGGCUCAACCUCGGAAUAGCAUUUGAAACUGGCACACUAGAGUACUGUAGAGGGGGGUAGAAUUUCAGGUGUAGCGGUGAAAUGCGUAGAGAUCUGAAGGAAUACCAGUGGCGAAGGCGGCCCCCUGGACAGAUACUGACACUCAGAUGCGAAAGCGUGGGGAGCAAACAG
rnacentral:rRNA from 1 species